CUGGUCAGGGUCGAUCAAUACCUCCCCUUUAGCUUAUCACUAAUGUGGAACUGGCUGUUUGUCCAAACCUUGCUCUGUCUACAUAAAGACUUGGAUGGGACAGCAUCAAACCCAAAUGCACCACAUAUCACCUCAUGAACCUGCAGCUCCGGACGCACUACUGGACUUUUAACUGUUUGGAAAGACUCGGAGACAGAGCAGAGAAAAAAGAGUGGCUGGGAGGAGCAGAAUCAGCAGUGGGUAUGAACCAAGUGAAUAUGGAAAGAGGAUAAACUUUAGAAACUUGAGCCAGGACAGCGUCCCCUCUGCUCCAGGUGACAGUGUGGUGGGAGAAGACAGCCGCAAACAGACACCACAAGCAUAGACUCUGGGGGUCCCCACUCACUGACACUGCCUGGAUAGGCUGCACCACCUUGAGCCCUGACUCUGAAAAGUGGUGUGGACCUUGCCACACAACAUUGUUCCAGCCAAUCAGCAACAGGUGGCGUUAGUGCUUGUGCACAGGAGUGAGGGGGCCAGUGGGAGAGAGUUCUAUUCACCAUCACAUUCGAACGUACUGGACUCCAGGCAAAAACAGCCAAUAAGGGAAAGGCAUGAAGAGAACAGAGAAGACAGUUAUAUGACCAGGAAAGGGCGAAGGUAAGAUUUGAAAAUUGGGGGGGUGGCGGUUGGGGGGUUAGCGCCUGAGGGAGCACUGAAGGGAAGGGUUUUAUUUGUUUGGCAGGUGAGUUCAAACAUCAACAAUCCUUCUGCAGAAUCACUUACUCUUCCAUUAAGCUAAGCUAACCAUCUGCUAGCUACAGCCCUAUUUUGAACAGACAGAUAUGAAAAAUAAGUAUAUUUCCCAAUGUGUAAAAAGAUUUCUUUAUGUUUUAGAGCAUUAACUUGACUCCAAACCUGGAAAAAAGGUAGUAGAUUCCUCAGGAGUCUACCGAGUUGGGUAUAAACAGUGAAAUACAGUCACUUGAGGCACCUUUCAUUAUUUAUAGUUUCACACUUCUUGUUGUUGUGCUGUUACACUUUAUUUCUUCAGUUGCUCAUGUCUGCUGUAUAUACACUGCUCAAAAAAAUAAAGGGAACACUUAAACAACACAAUGUAACUCCAAGUCAAUCACACUCCUGUGAAAUCAAACUGUCCACUUAGGA